rnacentral:rRNA from 1 species
AGUGAACGCUGGCAGUAGGCCUAACACAUGCAAGUCGAACGGCAGCACAGUAAGAGCUUGCUCUUACGGGUGGCGGGUGGCGGACGGGUGAGGAAUACAUCGGAAUCUACUUUUUCGUGGGGGAUAACGUAGGGAAACUUACGCUAAUACCGCAUACGACCUACGGGUGAAAGCAGGGGAUCUUCGGACCUUGCGCGAUUGAAUGAGCCGAUGUCGGAUUAGCUAGUUGGCGGGGUAAAGGCCCACCAAGGCGACGAUCCGUAGCUGGGCUGAGAGGAUGAUCAGCCACACUGGAACUGAGACACGGUCCAGACUCCUACGGGAGGCAGCAGUGGGGAAUAUUGGACAAUGGGCGCAAGCCUGAUCCAGCCAUACCGCGUGGGUGAAGAAGGCCUUCGGGUUGUAAAGCCCUUUUGUUGGGAAAGAAAAGCAGCAGGUUAAUACCCCGCUGUUCUGACGGUACCCAAAGAAUAAGCACCGGCUAACUUCGUG